UCUGGGUCACCUCCCACCCGUGUUUAUUUACCUUGUUGCUUCGGCGGGCCCGCCUCACGGCCGCCGGGGGGCACCCGCCCCCGGGCCCGCGCCCGCCGAAGACACCAUUGAACUCUGUCUGAAGAUUGCAGUCUGAGCGAUUAGCUAAAUCAGUUAAAACUUUCAACAACGGAUCUCUUGGUUCCGGCAUCGAUGAAGAACGCAGCGAAAUGCGAUACGUAAUGUGAAUUGCAGAAUUCAGUGAAUCAUCGAGUCUUUGAACGCACAUUGCGCCCCCUGGUAUUCCGGGGGGCAUGCCUGUCCGAGCGUCAUUGCUGCCCUCAAGCACGGCUUGUGUGUUGGGCCCCGCCCCCCGGUCCCGGGGGGCGGGCCCGAAAGGCAGCGGCGGCACCGCGUCCGGUCCUCGAGCGUAUGGGGCUUCGUCACCCGCUCUGUAGGCCCGGCCGGCGCCCGCCGGCGACCCCCAAUCAAUCUAUCCAGGUUGACCUCGGAUCAGGUAGGGAUACCCGCUGAACUUAAGCAUAUCAAUAAGCGGAGGGAAAAGAAA
rnacentral:rRNA from 1 species